rnacentral:rRNA from 1 species
GUGACCUCAAAUCAGGUAGGACUACCCGCUGAACUUAAGCAUAUCAAUAAGCGGAGGAAAAGAAACUAACAAGGAUUCCCCUAGUAACUGCGAGUGAAGCGGGAAGAGCUCAAAUUUAAAAUCUGGCGUGCCUCUGGCGUCCGAGUUGUAGUCUGGAGAAGUGUUUUCCGUGUUGGACCGUGUACAAGUCUCUUGGAA